CCAGGAGCUUGCUCCUGGGUGAGAGUGGCGAACGGGUGAGUAAUGCGUGACCGACCUGCCCCAUACACCGGAAUAGCUCCUGGAAACGGGUGGUAAUGCCGGAUGCUCCAGUUGAAUGCAUGGCCCUCUGGGAAAGCUUCAUCGGUAUGGGAUGGGGUCGCGUCCUAUCAGCUUGAUGGCGGGGUAACGGCCCACCAUGGCUUCGACGGGUAGCCGGCCUGAGAGGGCGACCGGCCACAUUGGGACUGAGAUACGGCCCAGACUCCUACGGGAGGCAGCAGUGGGGAAUAUUGCACAAUGGGCGCAAGCCUGAUGCAGCGACGCCGCGUGCGGGAUGACGGCCUUCGGGUUGUAAACCGCUUUUGACUGGGAGCAAGCCCUUCGGGGUGAGUGUACCUUUCGAAUAAGCACCGGCUAACUACGUGCCAGCAGCCGCGGUAAUACGUAGGGUGCAAGCGUUAUCCGGAAUUAUUGGGCGUAAAGGGCUCGUAGGCGGUUCGUCGCGUCCGGUGUGAAAGUCCAUCGCUUAACGGUGGAUCCGCGCCGGGUACGGGCGGGCUUGAGUGCGGUAGGGGAGACUGGAAUUCCCGGUGUAACGGUGGAAUGUGUAGAUAUCGGGAAGAACACCAAUGGCGAAGGCAGGUCUCUGGGCCGUCACUGACGCUGAGGAGCGAAAGCGUGGGGAGCGAACAGGAUUAGAUACCCUGGUAGUCCACGCCGUAAACGGUGGAUGCUGGAUGUGGGGACCAUUCCACGGUCUCCGUGUCGGAGCCAACGCGUUAAGCAUCCCGCCUGGGGAGUACGGCCGCAAGGCUAAAACUCAAAGAAAUUGACGGGGGCCCGCAC
rnacentral:rRNA from 1 species